CCUUUCUUUCUUUUAAUUGUAAUUCUCUUUGACUGUUUUAGAUCAACAAGGGACGUCCCCAUAUUCAAGCAAGGCUACAUUCCCGUAUUCAAUGGGCAAUUUGUGGAUUCAACAUCAGAUCAAGCAUUGAGCCAAAUUUUCAUGAGCUGUACUUGAAGUUCUUGGAGAAAGUUAAUUCAAGAUUGCUGAAUAAGGAGAUUGUCAAAGCUACUUAUGAGAAUUGCAAGACAUGGAUGAAUGAGGUCUAGCCAGAGAUUCUACAAGGAACCUUCAAGUGCUUGGAAUGCAGUUUUGUCAUCAGGAACGUCGAACAACAAUUCAAAUACACUGAGGUGCUGCAGUUUUAUACUAAAAUACAUGUCAUGUCAGAGUACAGAACUGACAAACAUGUCCAUGUCCAAGUCUCAUUGGUCUGUUGCAACUCAAAUUUGUUCCUGAAGCAUCCACAUUGUGUCUCUUACAGCUUGAUUGGCAAAGCUAUCUCUUGGAUGCUUAAUCAUGGAUUCUGCAGGUAUUGAUUUUGUGCAGGGACCUAUACUCUAGUUAUCUUCUCAAAAAAUCUCAAAAGAUGAAAGAUCUCUCUCUCUCUCUCUCUCUCUCUCUCUCUCUCUCUCUCAUUGCAUAUACACUCAAUUUCAUAACCCACAUAUGUAGUUGGUUUUGUUUAAAUUUUUUCUCCCUUGUUCAAAUCCCUACUAUACUUAUUUGUUCUUUUCUGUAAUAGUUGCAACGGACAGUUAGGAUGGUUGUAGCAUAUUUGUUGGUCCCUAUGUAAGAUGAAUUUGUCUUUUGUAGCCUUGGCCCGGCCUUGAUCGUGGUAUAAAAAGAUCCAUAUAGAGAUUAAAUCUGCCGGCCAAACCCAAGCACACGCUCUAAGGCAUGACUAUCCACUGCCAAACACCCAGGCCGUAAACACUUAAUAAAAAGUUUUGUCUAUUGUCAAACACCUAAGAAUCUUUGUUCAGUCGUUAAUUUAUUUAUUUUUGUAUAUUUGCAUAUGUCCUUAUUCUGUCACGAUUUGAUUUGUUUUUACAACUAAUUGAUGACAUUACCUUCUUAAUUAGGCAUAAAUCUAUGUUUGUGUGUAGGUCAAUGGCAUUGAGUACAAAGUAUAACUCUCUCCCAAACGAAUCUUCCCAACCAUUUGAGACUAUGAUCGAGAUGAAUUUGUGGAAUUGAUUAUUUGAAGUAUGAUAACUGCUGGAAUGGUGGUACUAGGCCAACAAUUCGGACAUCUACAUGAGGGCCAUCUGAUGGAUGGCUUGGAUCUUACCAACAUUGCCACAUCGACACAUGUGGAGGCGUGUGAGUUGAGUCAGCUGGCAGACAAAUUCCCAUUGCCUUCCUGGAGCAGGUUAAGGAUGAUUUCAACAAGAAGUAUGGAGGAGGAAGAGCUGCCACUGCUGUUGCUAACAGCCUCAACAAGGAGUCUGGGUCCAAACUGAAAGAGCACAUGCAGUAUUGUGUGGACCAUCCAGAGGAGACCAG